rnacentral:rRNA from 1 species
GAUGAACGCUGGCGGCGUGCCUAAUACAUGCAAGUCGAGCGAUGAGGCUCCUUCGGGAGUACAUCAGCGGCGAACGGGUGAGUAACACGUGGGUGACUUGCCCCGAAGAUGGGGAUAACCUCUGGAAACGGGGGCUAAUACCCAAUGUGCUCGGUGAUUCGGUUCAUCGAGUAAAGCUCCGGCGCUUCGGGAGAGGCCUGCGGCCCAUCAGCUAGUUGGUAGGGUAACGGCCUACCAAGGCAGAGACGGGUAGGGGGCGUGAGAGCGCGGACCCCCACACUGGCACUGAGAUACGGGCCAGACUCCUACGGGAGGCAGCAGUAAGGGAUAUUGCGCAAUGGACGAAAGUCAGACGCAGCGACGCCGCGUGGGCGAUGAAGGCCUUCGGGUUGUAAAGCCCUUUUAUGGGGGAAGAGAAAAAGGACGGUACCCCAGGAAUAAGUCCCGGCUAACUACGUGCCAGCAGCCGCGGUAAAACGUAGGGGACAAGCGUUAUCCGGAUUCACUGGGCGUAAAGAGCGUUGAGGCGGUUCCGUAAGUUGGGCGUGAAAGCUCCGGGCUUAACUCGGAGAUGUCGUUCAAUACUGCGGGGCUUGAGGACAGCAGAGGAAGGUGGAAUUCCCGGUGUAGUGGUGAAAUGCGUAGAUAUCGGGAGGAACACCCGUGGCGAAGGCGGCCUUCUGGGCUGUUCCUGACGCUGAAGGCGAAAGCUAGGGGAGCGAACGGGAUUAGAUACCCCGGUAGUCCUAGCUGUAAACGAUGGAUGCUGGGUGUGGGGGGUGUAAAUUCCCUCUGUGCCGAAGCAAACGCGUUAAGCAUCCCGCCUGGGGACUACGGCCGCAAGGCUAAAACUCAAACGAAUUGACGGGGGCCCGCACAAGCAGCGGAGCGUGUGGUUUAAUUCGAUGCUACACGAAGAACCUUACCUGGGUUUGACAUGCACGUGGUAGGGAACCGAAAGGGGACCGACCUUCGGGAGCGUGCACAGGUGCUGCAUGGCUGUCGUCAGCUCGUGCCGUGAGGUGUCGGGUUUAAGUCCCGUAACGAGCGCAACCCUUGCCCUUAGUUACAAGUGUCUAAGGGGACUGCCCGGGACAACUGGGAGGAAGGUGGGGAUGACGUC